rnacentral:rRNA from 1 species
GCGUGGGGAGCGAACAGGAUUAGAUACCCUUGGUAGUCCACGCCGUAAACGGUGGGCACUAGUUGUGGGAACCUUCCACGGUUUCUGCGACGCAGCUAACGCAUUAAGUGCCCCGCCUGGGGAGUACGAUCGCAAGAUUAAAACUCAAAGGAAUUGACGGGGCCCCGCACAAGCAGCGGAGCAUGCGGCUUAAUUCGACGCAACGCGAAGAACCUUACCAAGGCUUGACAUAUACAGGAAUAUGGCAGAAAUGUCAUAGCCGCAAGGUCUGUAUACAGGUGGUGCAUGGUUGUCGUCAGCUCGUGUCGUGAGAUGUUGGGUUAAGUCCCGCAACGAGCGCAACCCUCGUUCUGUGUUGCCAGCAUUUAGUUGGGGACUCACAGGAGACUGCCGGGGUUAACUCGGAGGAAGGUGGGGAUGACGUCAAAUCAUCAUGCCCCUUAUGUCUUGGGCUGCACGCAUGCUACAAUGGCUGGUACAAACGGCUGCGAUACCGCAAGGUGGAGCGAAUCCGAUAAAGCCAGUCUCAGUUCGGAUUGGGGUCUGCAACUCGACCCCAUGAAGUCGGAGUUGCUAGUAAUCGUAGAUCAGCAACGCUACGGUGAAUACGUUCCCGGGGCUUGUACACACCGCCCGUCACGUCACGAAAGUC